GAUGAACGCUGGCGGCGUGCCUAAUACAUGCAAGUCGAGCGAACAGACGAGGAGCUUGCUCCUCUGACGUUAGCGGCGGACGGGUGAGUAACACGUGGAUAACCUACCUAUAAGACUGGGAUAACGUCGGGAAACCGGAGCUAAUACCGGAUAAUAUAUUGAACCGCAUGGUUCAAUAGUGAAAGACGGUUUUGCUGUCACUUAUAGAUGGAUCCGCGCCGCAUUAGCUAGUUGGUAAGGUAACGGCUUACCAAGGCAACGAUGCGUAGCCGACCUGAGAGGGUGAUCGGCCACACUGGAACUGAGACACGGUCCGGACUCCUACGGGAGGCAGCAGUAGGGAAUCUUCCGCAAUGGGCGAAAGCCUGACGGAGCAACGCCGCGUGAGUGAUGAAGGUCUUCGGAUCGUAAAACUCUGUUAUUAGGGAAGAACAAAUGUGUAAGUAACUAUGCACGUCUUGACGGUACCUAAUCAGAAAGCCACGGCUAACUACGUG
rnacentral:rRNA from 1 species